GAUGAACGCUGGCGGCGUGCCUAAUACAUGCAAGUCGAGCGAACACACGAUGAGCUUGCUCUCCUGACGUUAGCGGCGGACGGGCGAGUAACACGUGCAUCACCUACCUAUUUGACUUGGAUAAUUUCGGGAAGCCGCAGCCACUACUGGCUCAUAUAUCCUACCGCAUGGUUCAAUAGUGAAUGACGGCUUUCGUGUCUCAUUUAGCUGGAUCCGCGCUGGAUUAGCUAGUUGGUAAGGUAACGGCUUACCAAGGCGACGAUGCGUAGCCGACCUGAGAGGGUGAUCGGCCACACUGGAACUGAGACACGGUCCAGACUCCUACGGGAGGCAGCAGUAGGGAAUCUUGGGCAAUGGGCGCAAGCCUGAUGGAGCAACGCCGCGUGAGUGAAGAAGGUCUUCGGGUCGUAAAACUCUUUUGUUAGGGAAGAAAAGAAGUAUGUGAAAAUAUGGCUGUUUUGACGGUACCUAAAGAAUAAGCAACGGCUAACUACGUG
rnacentral:rRNA from 1 species